UACGUAGGUGGCAAGCGUUGUUCGGAAUUAUUGGGCGUAAAGGGCGCGUAGGCGGGCUGGCAAGUCGGUCGUGAAAUCCCUCGGCUCAACCGAGGAACGUCGAUCGAUACUGCUGUUCUUGAGGAUUGCAGAGGAGACUGGAAUUCCCGGUGUAGCGGUGAAAUGUGUAGAGAUCGGGAGGAACACCGGUGGCGAAGGCGGGUCUCUGGGCAAUUCCUGACGCUGAGGCGCGAAAGCGUGGGGAGCAAACGGG
rnacentral:rRNA from 1 species